UACGGAGGGUGCAAGCAUUAAUCGGAAUUAUUGGGCGUAAAGGGCGCGUAGGCGGUUUUGUAAGUCAGAUGUGAAAUUCCAAGACUCAAUCUUGGACCUGCAUUUGAAACUGCAAAUCUAGAGGAUAGGCGGAGAAAGCGGAAUUCCACAUGUAGCGGUGAAAUGCGUGGAUAUGUGGAAGAACACCGGUGGCGAAAGCGGCUUUCUAGCUUAUUCCUGACGCUGAGGCGCGAGAGCAAGGGGAGCAAACAGG
rnacentral:rRNA from 1 species